AAAAAGGAACGGAAGGUGAAGAACAGAAAUCCACAGUUAAUAUUGUUGCUGUUGGUUGUGCUACAAAUAAUGAAUCUGCUGCAAAUAAUGAAGCAACAAACUUCAACACUGGAGAUCCUUCUAAGCAUAUGAGUAUCAAAGCAAGAAAACCUUCAGAGAGAAAAGAGGCAGAUUCCAGUGAAAGAAUUCUUUGUCAUAGCC